CUGAUCUUCUCAUCCUACCAGAGGAGAGACCAAGGCACAGCAGGGAUGAAGGCAUGGCACAAGGGACCUUAAUGACUACAUAGACAGUAUUUGAUAUAAAAAGGUGUCAAAACCGACCUCUAGGCUCUGCGUCAACAUGCGAACUCGAUGCUCCAUAAAUGUCACCCCCAAAGAUAUGAGCAACAGUGAAUUGGAGUAGAUGCAUCCAAGGAAACUGUGCCUUGCAGACCUGUUUCCCAGCCUAACUUCUUGGAAAAAGUCCCUGCUUCCAAGAACAUCUUCUGGACAGAUGACCCCAUGGCUCAGAUACU